rnacentral:tRNA from 1 species
GGCUCAGUGGUGUAGUGUCUAAAAGACAGUGCACCGGAUAGGCCUGGGACGUGGGUUCAAAUCCCGCCUGAGCCA